rnacentral:rRNA from 1 species
AACGAACGCUGGCGGCAGGCCUAACACAUGCAAGUCGAACGCCCCGCAAGGGGAGUGGCAGACGGGUGAGUAACACGUGGGAACCUUCCCUAUACUACGGAAUAGCCCAGGGAAACUUGGAGUAAUACCGAAUACGCCCGAGAGGGGAAAGAUUUAUCGGUAUAGGAUGGGCCCGCGUAGGAUUAGCUAGUUGGUGAGGUAAUGGCUCACCAAGGCGACGAUCCUUAGCUGGUCUGAGAGGACGACCAGCCACACUGGGACUGAGACACGGCCCAGACUCCUACGGGAGGCAGCAGUGGGGAAUAUUGGACAAUGGGCGCAAGCCUGAUCCAGCCAUGCCGCGUGAGUGAUGAAGGCCUUAGGGUUGUAAAGCUCUUUUGCCGGGGACGAUAAUGACGGUACCCGGAGAAUAAGUCCCGGCUAACUUCGUGCCAGCAGCCGCCGUAAUAC